GAAAUGCGAUAAGUAAUGUGAAUUGCAGAAUUCAGUGAAUCAUCGAAUCUUUGAACGCACCUUGCGCUCCUUGGUAUUCCUUGGAGCAUGCCUGUUUGAGUAUCAUGAAAUCUUCAAAGUAAAUCUUUUGUUAACUCAAUUGGUUUCUACUUUGGUAUUGGAGGUCUUUGCAGCUUCACACCUGCUCCUCUUUGUUCAUUAGCUGGAUCUCAGUGUUAUGCUUGGUUCCACUCGGCGUGAUAAGUUAUCUAUCGCUGAGGACACUGUAAAAGGUGGCCAAGGUAAAUGCAGAUGAACCGCUUCUAAUAGUCCAUUGACUUGGACAAUACUUUUAUGAUCUGAUCUCAAAUCAGGUAAGACUACCCGCUGAACUUAAGC
rnacentral:misc_RNA from 1 species